ACUGAUUGCUGUGGAAAAUCACAAUAUGCAGGUAAAGUAUUCACAGAAAUUUCAUGUAUAUUUGUAAGCACUUUUUCUUUUUUUUCUGAGUUUUCAAGGGUUUUCAAGGGUUUGCAAGGGUUUUCAAGGGUUUUCAAGGGUUUGCAAGGGUUUUCAAGGGUUUUCAAAGGUUUGCAAGGGUUUUCAAGGGUUUUCAAGGGUUUGCAAGGGUUUUCAAG